rnacentral:rRNA from 1 species
GAUGAACGCUGGCGGCGUGCCUAAUACAUGCAAGUCGAGCGAACGGACGAGAAGCUUGCUUUUCUGAUGUUAGCGGCGGACGGGUGAGUAACACGUGGAUAACCUCCCUAUAAGACUGGGAUAACUUCGGGACACCGGAGCUAAUACCGGAUAAUAUUUUGAACCGCAUGGUUCAUAAGUGAAAGACGGUCUUGCUGUCACUUCUAGAUGGAUCCGCGCUGCAUUAGCUAGUUGGUAAGGUAACGGCUUACCAAGGCAACGAUGCAUAGCCGACCUGAGAGGGUGAUCGGCCACACUGGAACUGAGACACGGUCCAGACUCCUACGGGAGGCAGCAGUAGGGAAUCUUCCGCAAUGGGCGAAAGCCUGACGGAGCAACGCCGCGUGAGUGAUGAAGGUCUUCGGAUCGUAAAACUCUGUUAUUAGGGAAGAACAUAUGUGUAAGUAACUGUGCACAUCUUGACGGUACCUAAUCAGAAAGCCACGGCUAACUACGUG